rnacentral:lncRNA from 1 species
AAUGUUUAAAUGUUUUGGGGUUGCCCUUGAAUCUUCCCACCAGGCUCGCUAUCCUCUCCUGCCACACCCUUUGAGAACCACCGAAUUAAGGAGUCCCUGGAAUUUGAAUCCAUUGGAGGCAUUCUGCUUUUGUUGAUGUCUACUCUGAUGGUGGUGUGUUUCGUGUUCUUUUCACUUUCAGACAAUCCUUGCAAACGUGUGGAUAAUUACAGCAACUGAGCUGAUGUAGCGAAGUAAGGCAGAUGCAAGAAGAAAGCUUUGAGGCAGAUUGUCCUGCUUCUUGCCUGCAUACCACUGAAAUAAAAUAGGGGCAUUCGUCCUCUCUGUUGAAUUCUGCAUUCUCAUUCAAAUCAGGCCAUCCGUCAGGACCUUCUGGAUGACCCCUUCCAAAUGAAACUUGUUUUACCCACCCGGGAAGAAUGGCAGAUGAAGUUGAUGGACUAUAUGGAACUGGCGGAAAUGACUGGCAGAAUCCAAGACCAGGGAGAAGAGUCGGUGGAAGAAGACUGGAAAAAGUUUAAAGACUAUUUACAGAAAUAUUGUAAAAUUAAUGAAUGUUAGAAAAAUGUUGGAAUGAAGUUAUAUGGCUUUAGUAGAAAUGUUAUAAGGAAUUAAGUACAAAUAGAUUAAUAGAGUAUUAAAGGGAAGAAUAAGGUUAGAAUCUGUUAAGAUAAUUAAAGGAUAGAAAGCAGAGGAAGAUGGAAAGGAAUUGCUGAAACAAUCAACAGAAGUGGAAUACAAAAAGGGAGGUGUGAG